rnacentral:tRNA from 1 species
ACCAGCUGAGCUAUCCCGACC